rnacentral:rRNA from 1 species
UACGUAGGUGGCGAGCGUUACUCGGAGUUACUGGGCGUAAAGGGUCCGUAGGUGGCCCUUCAAGUCUGAGGUGAAAGCCUGCAGCUCAACUGCGGAACUGCCUUGGAAACUGAAGGGCUGGAGUGCAGGAGAGGCAAGUGGAAUUUGUGGUGUAGCGGUGGAAUGCGUGGAUAUCACAAGGAACACCAGAGGCGAAAGCGGCUUGCUGGACUGCAACUGACACUGAGGGACGAAAGCCAGGGGAGCAAAAAGG